rnacentral:sRNA from 1 species
AGCUCAACGAGACGAGUCGAACGAGUGCCAAACGAGCCCCGGACACGAUGACAACGACGA